rnacentral:lncRNA from 1 species
GUCAGAGACAAUACAAGCUUCCCAUGCCAGGAAAGAGGGCUAUCUUGGCUAGGCACUGGGAACACUGGUGCCAGCUAUAGCUCUUAGACUGUCAGAUGGUCACUUGGAGCCUGGAGUUGCAGAGACAAAAAGGAUCAGCUAUGUGACCAUAGGCAGUCAACAAGCCCUUUAAUUAAGAGAUGGAGGAGAAAGGGAAGGCAUUCAAGGCAUGAGAAACAGCUGAUGCAAAGGCUGCUGUCCAUGGUAAGAGAAGUGAGCAUCCCGCUGUCCUCUGACCUGAGAAUACAUCUGGACUAUUUUGUUCCCUCCUGGGCACCACAUUCUCAUAAGGACAUGGGCAAUGUUGAACCUGUCCAGAAGAUUGCCACCAGAAUGCCCAGGGGAGUAGAAACCACCCCUUGUGAAGAUCAGUGGAAGGAAUCAUAUUCUCCAGGGUUGUGAACUCCCACCUCAGAGCAGAGAAUCAAAGGAUCCUGGAAGUGGGGAGACACAGGGAACCAGUCUCCUCUAUGACUUCUCUACCUGUACUUGAAUAAGAGAGUGAGGAAGAAUGAGGGAAGUCUAGCUUUUGAAUGAAGACUGAGAGACAGACUUGGGUUUAUCACCUGGACUGGACUUCAGUCCUCUCUUUGUACCUUCCUACUUAGGUGACAUUGGGCAAGUCAUUUCUCUCUUUGGGGUCUUAAUUUUCUUAUCCAGUAAAACUAGAAGGCUGGACUAGAUGCGUCUUUCCAGCACUCAGUCUUUGAUCUAAAAUGGCAUUGCAGUCAUGGCAGAAAUUGGAGAAAAUGCCUCUGGAGUGGACAAAGAGCUGCUCAGUUUGAAUGGCAGAUGAGCACUUGAACAACAUGAGACAAUUGAGAAAUAGGACUUCCUGGGAUAUUCCGCACUAAAAUCUCACUGGUCUCUAUCAGCAAAGUCUGGAAAUAGUUAAAUCCUGGAUGCUGGAUUAUGGCAACAGCAGGAGGGGGAGGCACCU